GAUGAACGCUGGCGGCGUGCCUAAUACAUGCAAGUCGAGCGAACAGACGAGGAGCUUGCUCCUCUGACGUUAGCGGCGGACGGGUGAGUAACACGUGGAUAACCUACCUAUAAGACUGGGAUAACUUCGGGAAACCGGAGCUAAUACCGGAUAAUAUAUUGAACCGCAUGGUUCAAUAGUGAAAGACGGUUUUGCUGUCACUUAUAGAUGGAUCCGCGCCGGAUUAGCUAGUUGGUAAGGUAACGGCCUACCAAGGCAACGAUGCGUAGCCGACCUGAGAGGGUGAUCGGCCACACUGGAACUGAGACACGGUCCAGACUCCUACGGGAGGCAGCAGUAGGGAAUCUUCCGCAAUGGGCGAAAGCCUGACGGAGCAACGCCGCGUGAGUGAUGAAGGUCUUCGGAUCGUAAAACUCUGUUAUUAGGGAAGAACAAAUGUGUAAGUAACUAUGCACGUCUUGACGGUACCUAAUCAGAAAGCCACGGCUAACUACGUG
rnacentral:rRNA from 1 species